rnacentral:sRNA from 1 species
ACGGUCAUCAGCUGUUGAGUUUUACCGAAAUUACUUUGCCGCGACGCAACGCGUCGGGACUGGAUGGCUGGCUCGCCUGACAGCAGGGCAACGUCUGAGGAUGCUCGAAGACUUAAUGCAGUGGGAAAUAACGACCCCGAUGUCCGUGAAGCGUUAACUCGCCCACAUCAAAGUGUAACUGAGUAUUGGUGCUUUUCACCGGCCAGCAGAUUAUAACUGCUGGCUUUUUU